rnacentral:rRNA from 1 species
UGUUCAGGAGAUCUUUUUGUUCCCUUGCCGGAUAACAUUUUGAACUGCAUGGUUCGAAAUUGAAAGGCGGCUUCGGCUGUCACUUAUGGAUGGACCCGCGUCGCAUUAGCUAGUUGGUGAGGUAACGGCUCACCAAGGCAACGAUGCGUAGCCGACCUGAGAGGGUGAUCGGCCACACUGGGACUGAGACACGGCCCAGACUCCUACGGGAGGCAGCAGUAGGGAAUCUUCCGCAAUGGACGAAAGUCUGACGGAGCAACGCCGCGUGAGUGAUGAAGGCUUUCGGGUCGUAAAACUCUGUUGUUAGGGAAGAACAAGUGCUAGUUGAAUAAGCUGGCACCUUGACGGUACCUAACCAGAAAGCCACGGCUAACUACGUGCCAGCAGCCGCGGUAAUACGUAGGUGGCAAGCGUUAUCCGGAAUUAUUGGGCGUAAAGCGCGCGCAGGUGGUUUCUUAAGUCUGAUGUGAAAGCCCACUGCUCAACCGUGGAGGGGCAUUGGAAACUGGGAGACAUGAGUGUACAAAAGGAAAGUGUGAUUUCCCGUGUAAAGGGGUUUUGCGUACAGAUAUGUGUGAAGACUCUCAGGCGGCUAUCGCCACUUUAGACUCUGUCCCUGAGCGAGACACUCCAAAGCGUUGCCCACCAAAGAGGAUCAGACCCGUGGCUAAUCCCCCGCUGUGCACGAUCACUGUCUAGGUGUGAGAGGGUUUUCCGCCCCUUUGGGGCAGACGUUUACCCCACCAAGCAAUUCAGGCGGGAGGGAGUACUGCCCGCAAUGGCUGAAACCUCAGAAGGCAACAAGAUUAUAGACCCUGGUGCUCCUCCCCGUUGGACGAUGAUUACUCUUU